rnacentral:rRNA from 1 species
UACGUAGGGCGCAAGCGUUAUCCGGAAUUAUUGGGCGUAAAGAGCUCGUAGGCGGUUUGUCGCGUCUGCUGUGAAAGACCGGGGCUCAACUCCGGUUCUGCAGUGGGUACGGGCAGACUAGAGUGUGGUAGGGGAGACUGGAAUUCCUGGUGUAGCGGUGAAAUGCGCAGAUAUCGGGAGGAACACCUGCGGCGAAGGCGGGUUGCUGGACCGACACUGACGCUGAUGCGCGAAAGCCAGGGGAGCGAACGGG